rnacentral:rRNA from 1 species
AUUCAGCGGCGGACGGGUGAGUAAUGCCUAGGAAUCUGCCUGGUAGUGGGGGACAACGUUUCGAAAGGAACGCUAAUACCGCAUACGUCCUACGGGAGAAAGCAGGGGACCUUCGGGCCUUGCGCUAUCAGAUGAGCCUAGGUCGGAUUAGCUAGUUGGUGAGGUAAUGGCUCACCAAGGCGACGAUCCGUAACUGGUCUGAGAGGAUGAUCAGUCACACUGGAACUGAGACACGGUCCAGACUCCUACGGGAGGCAGCAGUGGGGAAUAUUGGACAAUGGGCGAAAGCCUGAUCCAGCCAUGCCGCGUGUGUGAAGAAGGUCUUCGGAUUGUAAAGCACUUUAAGUUGGGAGGAAGGGCAGUAAAUUAAUACUUUGCUGUUUUGACGUUACCGACAGAAUAAGCACCGGCUAACUCUGUGCCAGCAGCCGCGGUAAUACAGAGGGUGCAAGCGUUAAUCGGAAUUACUGGGCGUAAAGCGCGCGUAGGUGGUUCGUUAAGUUGGAUGUGAAAUCCCCGGGCUCAACCUGGGAACUGCAUUCAAAACUGUCGAGCUAGAGUAUGGUAGAGGGUGGUGGAAUUUCCUGUGUAGCGGUGAAAUGCGUAGAUAUAGGAAGGAACACCAGUGGCGAAGGCGACCACCUGGACUGAUACUGACACUGAGGUGCGAAAGCGUGGG